rnacentral:lncRNA from 1 species
AAAGUCUUACAGUCCCUAAGAAUAGCUGUAAUUCAGUGGAAACAUAAACUUAAAACAAACACUUAAUUUAUUUUCCGUUUCAUGCUCUUCUGUUUUAGAUGCAGAGAGUUGAUUUAGAGCAUUCUGUGAACCCACUUCUGAACCCAAAACAAGGCCCCAGCUACAGCGUACUUGACAAUUGCCCAGUUUUGCUUCCCAUGCUGUUACAUUUGAGACUUGGCCUUUUGAGAACCAGUGGAGCACUGCUACCUCGCCAGCUCAUCGUUCCUGAUUGCAUAAGUGAUGGCAAACCACUCGCCUGGUGCUGGCUUGGAGGCAAAGAUACAUCAAGUGGCUGGCAUAUCUUUCUUCAGUCCAGAAUGAGGUAA